rnacentral:sRNA from 1 species
GCAGGGAGCGGUGGUGCACACCUGUAAUCCCAGAGGCUCAGGAGGCUGAGGCAGGAGGAUUGCUAGUUCAAAGCCAGCCUCAGCAAUAGCAAGGCACUAAACAACUCAGUGAGACCCUGUCUCUC